rnacentral:rRNA from 1 species
CCAGACUCCUACGGGAGGCAGCAGUGGGGGAUAUUGCACAAUGGGGGAAACCCUGAUGCAGCGACGCCGCGUGAGGGAAGACGGUUUUCGGAUUGUAAACCUCUGUCUUUGGGGACGAAUUGAGACGGUACCCAAGGAGGAAGCUCCGGCUAACUACGUGCCAGCAGCCGCGGUAAUACGUAGGGAGCAAGCGUUGUCCGGAAUUACUGGGUGUAAAGGGAGCGUAGGCGGGAUGGCAAGUAGAAUGUUAAAUCCAUCGGCUCAACCGGUGGCUGCGUUCUAAACUGCCGUUCUUGAGUGAAGUAGAGGCAGGCGGAAUUCCUAGUGUAGCGGUGAAAUGCGUAGAUAUUAGGAGGAACACCAGUGGCGAAGGCGGCCUGCUGGGCUUUAACUGACGCUGAGGCUCGAAAGCGUGGGGAGCAAACAGGAUUAGAUACCCCAGUA